rnacentral:rRNA from 1 species
AAUAGAUACCCAGGUAGUCCACGCCGUAAACUAUGAUUACUCGAUGUCGGCGGAUAUACUGUCGGUGUCCAAGCGAAAGUGAUAAGUAAUCCACCUGGGGAGUACGAUCGCAAGGUUGAAACUCAAAGGAAUUGACGGGGGCCCGCACAAGCGGUGGAGCAUGUGGUUUAAUUCGAUGAUACGCGAGGAACCUUACCUGGGCUUGAAUGCAUUAUGACCGUCCCGGAAACGGGACUUUCUUCGGACAGAAUGCAAGGUGCUGCAUGGUUGUCGUCAGCUCGUGCUGUGAGGUUGUCGGGUUAAGUCCCAUAACGAGCGCAACCCCUAUUCUUAGUUGCCAGCGGGUAAUGCCGGGGACUCUAAGAAACUGCCCGCGUAAGCGGUGAGGAAGGUGGGGAUGACGUCAAAUCAUCACGGCCCUUACGUCCAGGGCUACACACGUGCUACAAUGGUCAGUACAAAGGGGCAGCUACCUGGUGACAGGAUGCUAAUCUCGAAAACUGAUCUCAGUUCGGAUCGAAGU